rnacentral:rRNA from 1 species
AGGACGAACGCUGGCGGCGUGCUUAACACAUGCAAGUCGAGCGGAAAGGCCCUUCGGGGUACUCGAGCGGCGAACGGGUGAGUAACACGUGAGCAACCUGCCCUUAGCUCCGGGAUAGCUCCGGGAAACCGGAAUUAAUACCGGAUAUGACUUAGGCCGACAUCGGCUGUGGUGGAAAGUUUUUCGGCUGGGGAUGGACUCGCGGCCUAUCAGCUUGUUGGUGGGGUAAUGGCCUACCAAGGCGACGACGGGUA